AGUCACUGACAUUAGACUACCCGUGUAGUCCUAGCCGUAAACGAUACUCGCUAGGUGUCGGCCACGGUGCGACCGUUGUCGGUGCCGUAGGGAAGCCGUGAAGCGAGCCACCGUGGGAAGUACGGCCGCAAGGCUAGAAACUUAAAGGAAUUGGCGGGGAGCACAACAACGGGUGGAGCUUGCGGUUUAAUUGGAUUCAACGCCGGAAAUCUUACCGGGACCGACAGCAACAUGAAGGCCAAGCUGAAGACUUUGCCGGAUUAGCUG
rnacentral:rRNA from 1 species